rnacentral:rRNA from 1 species
CCCCUAGAUGUUCUGGGCCGCACGCGCGCUACACUGAACAGUUCAACAAGUCUUAACCUUGGCCGAUAGGUCUGGGUAAUCUUUGAACGCUGUUCGUGACUGGGAUAGACCUUUGCAAUUAUGGGUCUUCAACGAGGAAUUCCUAGUAAACGCAAGUCAUCAGCUUGCAUUGAUUACGUCCCUACCCUUUGUACACACCGCCCGUCGCACCUACCGAUUGAAUGGUCCGGUGAAAUCUCGGGACGGCGGCUUGGUCGCUUGCGUCCGACUGCUGAAACUUGAUUAAACCAUAUCAUUUAGAGGAAGGUGAAGUCGUAACA